GUGGAACGAGUCAGAGCUAGGAGGACAGAGAGAGAGAGUGAAGCAGUAUUUCACCUGGUCAGGAAACCGUCUCCAAGAGAGAAAAGAUCCAGCAGGACUGUAAGUAUUCUCUAUUAACACAGUCAUCAUUUGUAUUGUGUCUACUGUGUCUAUUUUCUGUUGUGUCUGUUGUCUUUACUCUUAGAAAAAAAUGGUUAUUCAACGGGUUCUCCUAUGGGGACAGCCGAAGAACCCUUAUUGGUUCUAGAUAGCACUUUUUCUACUUAGAGUGUAUUGUGUCUCUAUGGGGGAUGAAAAUACCAAUUUGAACCCACAUUUACAGCAUAAAUGAUCUAAUGGUUUACGUGCUGUAGUACUAGGAGCUAGGGCUGUUACGG
rnacentral:lncRNA from 1 species